ACAACCCCUCUCCCUGGAGGUUACUAUAAACUGUAUAUAUGCCCCAGCCGAAGAGAUAAUGAAGUGUGUUGAAUCUCAUAGCUAGUCUCUCUUCAUCAUGUACAUCAAUGUCUCACCAUUAUGGCUAGACCUCUAAGUGCUUUGCUAUUGACAUGCUGCAUCCGUGGCCUAAUUGUUGGUAAUAAAUUCAACGAGGGGCUUAUGCCGUUGCGCCGUGCCUCCGCCUACUAGUAUUUCUAAAGAUACUAAGCUCUCUAGAAAGAUAUCUCUUUGGUGCAUCGUACUGGACUAGACAUGUGGGUUCGAGUUGUAAGAUGGUGUUCACUGUUGGGGGUGUGCCAUGCGUGUAGGUUUCUAUUGGUCAUCUAUCACAUAUACACUCACAUCACCGUCUCGCACUCGGGCUACCAAUUGAUAAUGGACGCGUCUAGCUGGCAAUCGAGUGCCCCGUAGGGAUUCCUGGCAACUUGCCCUAUUAGGAAAGUUUUGGUCCCCAUGCAAAAGUGGAAAAGUGAUAGCUGCGAUCAUUCCCCGUGCGUUCCACCUGUGGUUCCAUUCGGGUUCUGCUACUUCACCCGUGGUUCCAUCUGCUGUAACUCCUUCCUGCAAUAGCAUGCGACAAACAAGUUAAAAAUGCGUCAGGUGCAUUUAAUUUCAUGCCAAAACAAAUUCAAAAAGCUGCAACUUUUAAACUGAGCGUCGAAAUUAUUUUCGUUUUCACCAUUAGGUUUCUCGUAGCAAUAUCUUCAAAACAAGGUCUCAUAUGGGUAUGUUUUGAUGAACUUUUUUUUCAAGCAACUUUGCAGCCAUAUGGGGCAACUUCGGUGCCACAGAAAGCAACUCUGCAGUAGAUUGCCUAUCGCGGUUACAUAUUUAUCCCAUUUCUUCUAACUUGGCUACCGGUUCUAUAGGAAGCGACUCAAGUGCUAUAUGGGGCAACUUUGAUGCUACAUGAAAAAACUUAGAAGUAGAUUGACUAUCACGAUUACAUAUCUACCCCCCAAAGUACUCCUAAAUUGGCUGCCACAACUAGAAGAAUCAACUUUAGCGCUAUAUGGGGCAACUUUUCUAUCGCCUAAUAUCACCUAUGCUUCCCUCUAAAAGUUGGAGACCAUGACUGCCAAGUUGCCUAACGUCAUUUCUCAAGUUGCAUAAUAUCAUCUCUAAAGUUGGCUAACAUGACUAGCAAGUAUCAUAACAUUAUCCUAAUUUGCCUCGGAGUACUUUCUAGUACUAUAAGUAACUUAGCUUUAGAGGUAGAAAAAACUUAGAAACAAUGUUUGGCAAGUUGCAUAGUAUGGUAGGCAACUAAUUAGUGAUGGCACACAACUAAGCGUCAUUGGUAUAGGCAACUAGUUAGCAAAAGCAACUUAUCGGUCAUAAAAUAGGUGACUAAAAAUCACAAUGGGAGACUACUAAGGAUCAACACUAGGUACUUUGUACUAUUGUAGACAAAGUUAGACAAAUUCAUUAGCACACACUAUGUAAUGAACUUGCUUAUGUGUACCAUUAAAGUUGCCUCCCUUAGCAAGAAAGUUGCUUUCAAAGUUUCGUAAAGUUGCCACACCCAGGCAGAUUCACCUCUUCCCCCAAACAACAAAAAUGGUGUGAAGUUGCCAAUCCCCCAACAACGUACCAGUUGUGGUAGACAACUAAUGGUUUUCAUUUAGAGAACUUUGCUUCUAUCCACCUAGACAAUAAAACUGGUGUGAAGUUUGUCGCCCCCAAACAAUAGGUCUUUUUGUCCUAGAUAACUAGUGGGCUUUUUAGCGAAAGAUUUUUAUUUAGGCAACUUUGCCUUUGACCGUGACAUCAGACUAGAGGCGAUGGGGUGGAAGCCGAGGAGCAAGGAGUUGUUGAAGAUGAGAACGUGGACGGGUCUUGUGCCAGACAACUAAUGGGUGUUGAUUAUGUUACAACCAAAAUAGUUUGCUUGUUUGGUGAACCAAAAUGAAAAGCUGUUUCAGUGUAUCAAAUUGAUGAAAAAAAUCCAUGAAACUUUGCUGAUUUAGUAACUUCCAAUUAUAAAUCAAUUUGCCUCUAAAAUGUAUCUCUGGGCAACUCACGCCAGCCUCUCUAGCAACUAACUUCUAUGGUUUGGGCAAAUUUUGGGUGAAAUAAACCAAGUACUCCCGGGAGAGGAUCUUUGGGCAACUCACUUCAGUAUCUCUAGCAACUAACAAUCAUGCAUUGGGCAAGUUUUGGACACUUUCUGCUCAAAUUGUCGACGAUUCUAGCCCCCGCACCGCCACACUGCAAACCACCCCUGCAUUCAAAAAUCAUCGAUUCGCCCAAAAAAUCUAAGUCCCCACACACCCCUCUUCAACCUCCCUAUCCCUACCUCUAUCGCAUAGAAUCGUAGAUGUGGGUGAAAACACAGGCUUUGGGGGUCAAUUUCGUGAUACUUGCCAAUGAUUUUUGGCCCAAUUCCUCGACCGUUGGCGACAACACUUUCCUGGCUCUAGAUCCUCUCCGCUAGGUGAUCACGGCGCACAGACAACACUGCCCCCUCGAAUGUCGUCCUGUUUCGCUUGGGCCAAGCAACUCGUAUGCUAACUUAUGGCAACUGUCGACACCAAAUAAAAACCUCAAACAAAUCAUACUGAGGAAAUCUAGUUUCAGCAAAUCAAUUAGCAUGGUUCAGGAAACUCAUAUGCAAACUUCUGGCAACUGUCCACACCAAAAAAACUCGGGAAAAUCGUACUGAGGAAGUCUGGUUUUGACAACUCAAUUAGCAGGGGCAGGAACUCCUACUCAAUCUCAUGGCAUCUCCUAUAAAAAAACUCCCCCACCUCCUCUCUGGUUUACAUGGGGCAGGCAACUCAAUAUCAAUCUUGAAUCAACUUCACAUCAAUCUCGAAGGAACUCACAGAUCUGGCAAAAACCUAACACAACCACUGAUUAGCGUGGAGACUCGCCCCUCGCUCCUGAAAUUACACACCACGGAUCUAACAACUCCGACCCGGAUCCCAUCUCUAGUCUCUACGCGCAUGAUCCCCUCCUCCCUCCCGGCGCCCAUGAAAAAUCCCCGACCCCCCUCCCCAGGAUGCAAUGAGCUAGAGGAACCUCGUCGGAGAAGAAACGGGAACGCAAAAAACGGUAAGAGGAACGAGUUCUGUACCUCAGGAUUUCUGCAGCGAGUCCCCUCUUUACUCGCCGGAAACGCAGCAUCGCCGCGACAGAGUGCACUCUACUAUGCCCCCGCGCGCACUCCAUCGCAUCAUCUCGCACCUCCAUCAUAGAACUGCCGCCAGCACCCACGUCCUGUGAGCUUCGGCAAUAAGCCACCAAUCCCCGUAAUAGCCAAUGUCAGUCGCCUUCGUGUGAAGCAAAAAUGGAGCGGGAGGAAAAAACCAUGCGUGCGUGGAGGGUGUGCUUCGCUUACCUCGCGAUUUUGACCAGCGAACAGCCUCCUCGCUUGCCGGAACUCGUAGUGUCGCUAACGACCUUUACCCCGAUCCUUCGCCCCUCUUGUGGUGCUCUGUCGCCGCGCGCGUGCUCCUCCAUCACCACCAGCACCACCGAACUCCGGCAGCCCGCGCCCUUCAAUUUCCGCCAUGAAUUGAUUUGGCGUGGCGAUGGACCUUGUGGAUUUGGGGGGACCUGCGGUGGAU
rnacentral:lncRNA from 1 species